rnacentral:misc_RNA from 1 species
AAGUCGUAACAAGGUUUCCGUAGGUGAACCUGCGGAAGGAUCAUUAGUGAAUAAACAAGUGCAGGUUGUGCUGGCCUUCUUGGUAUGUGCACGCCUGCCAAUGUUUCAUUCUAUCUUCCCACCUGUGCACUAUGUGUAGAUCUGUAUGCUAUUGUCAAGUCUUUUACUAAGCUUGGUUGAGAGGAGUUGCUUGUUCCAUUGGACAAGCUCUUCUUGAGUAUGCAGGUCUAUGUUUUAUAUCAACACCAUAUGAAUGUAAUAGAAUGUGCUUUGGGCUUUUAGCCUUUAAAACAUAUACAACUUUCAACAACGGAUCUCUUGGCUCUC